UUGCAAUGAUGACAAUCUUAGGACACCUUUGGAAUUUAACAUGAAAACAAAACCGUACCUAUCUGAGCAAC
ensembl:snoRNA SNORD58 Small nucleolar RNA SNORD58